GUGAGUGGCGCCGGCCUGUGUGUUUGUGUGCUUGCGUGGGGGAUAGAUGCGUGGGAUAGAGGCGAUUCAGGGCGCCCAGCAACAUCGCCGCCAUAUGUACCUUGCACUUGUGAGCAAGCUCCCACGCACGCACAAACCCACACGUGCAAACAAGAGGCACCCAAGAGCACACGCACGCCCCUCCUGCCACAGACGAUGCGGCUGCUGAACGAGUACGGUGUGGUGCUGGAGGGCAUCCUGCUCAAGCCCAACAUGUGCCUGCCCGGUGAGAAGGGUGGGGGGGGAGCCGCUGGGGGCAGCAGUGGCGGGGAGGGGGGGGGGGCAGCAGCAGCGGCAGGGAGGGAGGCACGGCGUGGAGGAAUGGGUAUGGUUGUGGAACUAGAGCCAGGAGCGGCACAUGUGCCACAUCUGGACUGCGGCGUGGGGCGCGUGCAUAAAGGGUGUCGGCAGGCAACAGGGUCCGUCUAAGCCCGCUAAUCCCUUGCCCACACUGCCCCCUCGUCCCUCGCCCCCCUCCCUGCCUCCGCAGGCCUGGACGCGCCCGUGGCCUCGCCCCAGCUGGUGGCGGAGGUGACCACGCGCACCAUGAUGCGCUCCAUCCCGCCCGCAGUGCCCGGCAUCCACUUCCUGUCCGGCGGCAUGAGCGAGGAGGAGUCCACGCUCAACCUGCAGGUGUGUGUGGGGGGGGGGGCGGGGUGAGGGGAGGUAGGAGGGUACCGGAGACCAUAUUGGAAGUCAGGACUAUCAGUGGGGACUGAUCGGCCGGGGGCGUCCUCUGUUGCAGAGCCUGCUAAUUGACUGACCACCACCAUCGCCACCGCCCCCCGUGUCCCAUGCGGCACCCGCAGGCCCUGAACGAGGCAUGCCCCAACGCCCCCUGGGCCCUGACCUUCUCCUACGGCCGCGCCCUGCAGUCGUCCACCCUCAAGGUGCGCUUCGCCACCGCUUCAGCCGCCCCCCUAUACGCCGACUGCCCCGCACGUCCCUGAUUGGUGGCGGGAGGGCGCGCUGACUUGGUUGAGGGUGCAUCGCCGCAGCCAUGAUGCCGACGUGACAACCUUGGCCCUCUGACAAUGAGCCUGCCUGCCCCUCUACUCCCUGAAUCCGGUCGCAGACCUGGGCCGGCAAGGAGUCCAACUGGGCCGCUGCUCAGGUGGGGCAAGGCGUGGUUUGGGGAGGCGGCAGGGAUCAAGGAAACGGCCGGCGUGCGUGCUGCGAACAGGGCUCUUGACGCCUUGCAUUUCCCCCAUCACACCACCAAACACAGAAAACGCGAGCCCAACCUAACUUACCAUUUCUCAAACCCCAACUCCCCCCUGGUUCCCCCUCCAGGACAUCCUGCUCAAGCUGGCCAAGGCCAACUCGGAGGCCUCCACCGGCUCCUUCAAGGGGCCGCACCCCGUGCCCGGCGGCGGCCGCAUCCUGCAGGCCCUGCGCACCGGCGGCGCCGGCAAGUAAGCGCCUCGGCAGCGCCGUGGCCCGUGCAACUGUGUGGAGAGGCGGUUGGCGACUUGACACGUGGCAUGGCCUGGACACGCC
rnacentral:lncRNA from 1 species